GUUUCAAAAGCUUCUUGUUACAAAGAGAUGCCUCGAUCCAGAGUGUCUGUCAAACUCAUCAAUGCUCAGAAAUAAAUGGAUUGGUGCACACAAAACAAUACUGAAAUAACAAACCCUGCUUUCCAGCAAAAUGGAAAUUGUUCUAAUAUUCUGCUGGGAUGGUGGAAAACGAUCAGAAAUUCAAGGACUUAAGGGUGGGAAGUCAGAGAGGAUGUCAGGAUUUCCAAGUCUGCAUAUGCUGGCUUCCACCUGCAGAGAUUAAAGUGACUGCGGUUGUGAUAAACCAGAGUGCUACUUGCUUCUGGCAGCCACUACCCCAUGGUCCCAUGGUCGGAGGAAGCUUCCAGAGGAGUGGACCUGGCAGACAUGGUUUCGAAAUGCUUCCUUGUCUGGAAAACAGAACCAAUGAUGAUCACCCAACUCAGAGGACAGAAGUGAAGGUUAAGUGGGAACAAUGGGCUUGGUACGUAUGUUGGUGCCAUGCGUGCUGUCACUCAGUUGUGCCUGACUCUUUGCGACCCCAUGGACUAUAACCUGCCAGACUUCUUUGUCCACGGAAUUUUCCAGGCAAGAAUACUGGAGUGAGUUUCUAUUUCCUACUCCAGGGGAUCUUCCUGGUACAUAACAGACACUAAAAAUGAUGCUUUCUCUUCCCUUUAUUUCCCCUUUUAUGUCUUUGGUUUAUCCCUCCCUGUGAUAGGGGCAGAGUAAAUGGACAAAGUAGGUGAUUAAAUAGUUGAUCCCACUAUUGGACUAUAAAUAGAGGAAAUAUAGGAGACCCCUGCAAGUUAAUGAUUACUCAGCAAAGCAGGCUUUCUUAACCACAAAACCAAGCAGGCUUGCUUAGGAACAAAAUCAGGCAACAGAAGCAUAGGGAUAUGUCCCAAACAAUAAAACAAUGGUGGAAUGAGACCCA
rnacentral:lncRNA from 1 species